CAACGGAUCUCUUGGCUCUCGCAUCGAUGAAGAACGCAGCGAAAUGCGAUAAGUAAUGUGAAUUGCAGAAUUCAGUGAAUCAUCGAAUCUUUGAACGCACCUUGCGCUCCUUGGUAUUCCGAGGAGCAUGCCUGUUUGAGUGUCAUGAAAUCUU
rnacentral:rRNA from 1 species